rnacentral:rRNA from 1 species
UACAGAGGGUGCAAGCGUUAAUCGGAAUUACUGGGCGUAAAGCGUGCGUAGACGGUUAUGUAAGUCGGGUGUGAAAGCCCCGGGCUCAACCUGGGAAUUGCAUUCGAGACUGUGUAGCUAGGGUACGGAAGAGGGAAGCGGAAUUUCAGGUGUAGCGGUGAAAUGCGUAGAUAUCUGAAGGAACACCAGUGGCGAAAGCGGCUUCCUGGUCCAGUACCGACGUUCAGGCACGAAAACGUGGGGAGCAAACAGG